AGUCUAUUUUGAGAAAAAUAACCAUUUUUGUAAUGAUCUCAACCGUUCAAAUUUGACAGUUAUUUCUGAGAUUAAUCCUGACCAUAAUAAGUAGGUGGUUAUUACUAAAAUUUAGAGGUUAUUUUUUAUGCAGAGCAGUUUGCAAGUUUUGAGAGGUUAUUAGAGGUUUCCAUCCCACUCUUCUAGCGGUUCUCUUCAUCCUCUCCCUCCACCCAUUAUAGAUCCCCAUCCCCUACGUCCCCCUUUCUCCUCCCCAACCUUGGAUCUUCUUCCAAGCUUCCCGUAACCCACUCUAGAAAUUGACGAUUCAUCCCUGAUCGGUCAUCGUCUCCUUCUCGUGAUUUCAGGGCUUUUCAAAUCGAAACAAGUCGUUCUGAGUGCUGCUCAACUCUGUCACAUUUCUGAUCUUCAAUUCAAUUCAUCCAGUGCCAGAAUUGUAAGUUUAACCUAAUUUUCACUCAUGUUGCAUCGUUUUCAUCCGAAUGAGGAUGUUCACCUCAAGAAUAUCAAGAAUGAAGGAGCUCUUUGUGGUUCCGACAACCGAGACGAGACCAAAACUGGCAGGUGACUUCGGGCAACCGUACGGUAAAUAAUCUGAGGUCAUGAAUCAUGAUUGGGAGUGGCAGAACAAGGUAUUCAUUCCUUCUAAUGACCUCUUUUUUCUGUAAGAGCAGUUUGCAAGUUUUGAGAGGUUAUUAGAGGUUUCCAUCCCACUCUUCUAGCGGUUCUCUUCAUCCUCUCCCUCCACCCAUUAUAGAUCCCCAUCCCCUACGUCCCCCUUUCUCCUCCCCAACCUUGGAUCUUCUUCCAAGCUUCCCGUAACCCACUCUAGAAAUUGACGAUUCAUCCCUGAUUGGUCAUCGUCUCCUUCUCGUGAUUUCAGGGCUUUUCAAAUCGAAACAAGUCGUUCUGAGUGCUGCUCAGCUCUGUCACAUUUCUGAUCUUCAAUUCAAUUCAUCCAGUGCCAGAAUUGUAAGUUUAACCUAAUUUUCACUCAUGUUGCAUCGUUUUCAUCCGAAUGAGGAUGUUCACCUCAAGAAUAUCAAGAAUGAAGGAGCUCUUUGUGGUUCCGACAACCGAGACGAGACCAAAACUGGCAGGUGACUUCGGGCAACCGUACAGUAAAUAAACUGAGGUCAUGAAUCAUGAUUGGGAGUGGCAGAACAAGGUAUUCAUUCCUUCUAAUGACCUCUUUUUUCUGUAAGGUAUAUAUUUUUAUCACAUUUCAUGUUACAUUUUUGUUUUAAAAUGGUAGUCUUUGGUGAUAUAUGCUGCAAAUAAUGGGAUUAUAAUAGGUUUAAAUCCUAGGUUUUGUACCUCAUAUUGAGAAGGCUCUCAAUUUUAAAACUCUUUGAUGGAUGUAUGCGUAUUACUGCUUUGAGUACAUGGCUACCAUUGCUUAUAAAGUAGAGGUCAAAUAAUUAUAAGUUUCGCACCAGGUUCUUACUUCUUUGUAAUUAUUUGCGAAGCUUCAUAAAGAGCUUGAAAUGAUGAAAGAAUGAUUUUCAAAGAUUUUGCUAGGUAAAGAUAUGUCAGGAACAGGCAAAGGAGCCUCACCAAUGUUACUUUCUCUAAUGCCAUGAGCACACGUCCUAUUUCAGGUCACACGGUUAUUUGGCAGCUAUUCCAGUUGAAAAUCCUAGCCAUUUAAGCUCACCGAAAAUAACGGAAAAAGCAGUAGUUUUUGGAGGUUUGGGUGUCUCUCUUCUCCUUUGGUGUGGUUUCCUAAUUUGUUGCUCACACGUUCUCCUGCCUUUCUCUCCUAUAAGAGGGUUCCCCACUUGACCCUAACUACAAUUCAACUGCCCAUUCUCCCCGCCUCCCGUUUUAGGGGUCUGGAGAGGUUCCAUGGGGUUGACGAUUGGGGUCUGGGAAUUGAUAAAAUAUUAGGAUGCAAAAGUUGAAGUCGGAGUCAUCACCUCUCUUGACGGUGAUAACCACCGUAGUCACCGAGACCAAGGUCUACCACUGAUAUCUUUGUCGUUCUCAGGUAUGUCUAUCUCUUCUUUCCCAUGGUCGUCCAGUCAAGUGUGUACGUUGUUUUAGAAGCUGCUUCUUUUCCCUUUCUACCACACAUCUUUUCUUGCACCACACUUGAACUCAGGUCUAAAGCAAUAUACAAAAACAACUUCUUGGAAGAAAAGAAGAGAGAGAAGGUCCGCUUAAUUGGUUUUGAACAAGCUUUCCGGUGAUUGAACUCCGAAUGAUACUAAGGUUUGUGAUUGAUCUGCGGCGGAUAAAGUGAGAGAUUUUUGUUCGCUUUGAAAUAACUAUUUUGCCCUUCAAACCAUAAAUUAUAAAAACAAAAACCAACAUUGCAAAAAAAAUCUAGAAGAUUGUAGGGGGAUUAGCAGGAGACUCAUAUCUUGAAUUCUUAACCGUUUAGGCACCAAUAACUUAGAUCUUGGUUGCCAUUUUGAUUGUAACAACGUUUGUGUUUAAUACCUUGGGAAAUGUGCACCACGAGGAGACAAUAAAGAUUGAAGUGAUCCAAAAACUUCUUCAAGAUUCUAAGGUUUCAAGUCCUUAAUAUUGUUGUUGUCGUUAAGAUUAUUUGAUUAAUCAUCGAUGAUUUGUCUUCUUUAUUGCGUUUAGUUUUCGCAUACUUUCUACAACUCUAUACUAUUGUCAAUUUCCAAUAGAUCUAUUGCCAAUACCAAACUAGUGGUUGUAAGUGAGGAUAGAAAAAAUGUUACUGUUCAUAUGUAUAUUUGGGGAACACUUUUACCCUCUAUAAGUUUUUAAUAUAUUUUGAAAGUGCUUAUGAGUAGAGGAGAGGGAAAAUGUAAUGAUAAAGGUAUUAAAAAAUAUUAUUUAAUUGAGAAAGAAAGAGAAAAUUUAAUGUUUUUUUAGCGUAAUUUAGUAUGAAAAUACGGUGGAAUGGAUGUGAAUACUCUAACUUUGAAACACAAAUAUUAUAUCUAGAGAGACUAUAUUUGCAACCUUAAACAAAAUGCAAGGGUCAUUCAUGUACAUCACUCUCUAUUUAACCCUAAACAACCACCACACAAACCCUAUCUUUUUCAUCUAUCUUCAGCACACAGCCGCUACGGCAACUGCAUCACGAUGCUUCUGAAGAUGAAAAAAAUCACUGAAUCCGAUGGAACAUGGUUAUUGUCUCUGGCUGAGGAUACACAUGGACCACAUGGUUUGGAACAGUGCAUCUAGCUUUGUUGUGGAUUGUGUCCAUAGUUAGUAUGGUUGGGAUAGACAAAGUCGCUCUAGCUUGAAAAGCUAGUUUUCGAUUGUUUGAGGCAUGGGUUUGAGUUUUUGAUGAUUUUGACGCUAAAGCUAUUUUUAACUUUUGUUAUGGCUCAAAGCUGUCACUUUGUAUCUUAUAUAUCUAGAUUGCAAAUUUGAAUCGGAAACGAAAACAUUUAAGUUAUCAGAAACGAAAACCCUCGCUUUGAAAUCGGAGUGUUUUUGCCUACCCCACCCAUGCCAAUUAUUGGCACGAUGCUGAAGUGGUGCAUGUCUGUUUGCUUACGUCGUCCUUGAGUGCCUUACAGUUGGCUUCUACAUAUCUACGUUUACAGUCAUCGAGGAGCAGUUACAGGAGUUUACCCUUAAAUUACUAUAUCUGGUUGAAGAUACUUUUCCUUUCACCGAGAAGGAUGCAUCUGGUUUUGUUACAGUUUGUGUCCAUAGUUGGUAUGGUUGGGAUAGGUAAAACCGCUCUAACCAGACUUUUGUGCAAUGAAAAGCCAAAUCUGGAUUGUUCUAGGCGUGUGUUUAAGGUUUAUGAUGAGUUUGAUGCUACGUAACAAGAUUGGAAGAAAUUGAUGUUUCAUACUCUUCCAAGCUUUUGCCAAAAGCAUCAAAAUCAUCAAAACCGAAAACCCAUGCUUUGAAUUGAGUAUUUUUACCUACUCCACCCAUGCCAAUUAUUGGCAUGAUGCUAAAGUUUUGAUUAUGUGGUUCUUGGCACCUGAAGAUCAUAAUUAUUUGAGCAAAUGGCAGACAGCAUGUUGAUAGUAAGCAUUUUUCUGUGUCUUUUUGGUUUCUUUGGUUUUUAUUUUUGUAUUAUUUUCAUAUAUACCCGUACAAACUUGAAAAUUUUCAUAUGUUCCCAACAAAAACCAAAAAUAUCGUAUACACCUUCAUGUUUUUAUAUAACACAUUUUAAGCUUAAAUUUAUUUUUACUCAUUUUCCCAAUUAAGCAAUAGUAUUCUCCAUAUCUCUCUAUAUAUAUAUAAUAUUUAAACAAAAUAAAUUAAGCUAUAAUUGUGUAAAUAUAAUAUUUGAAGUUAAAGGUUGUAGAAGUUUCAAUUUUUAUGAAAAAUGAGAUUAAAAUAAUCUUUUAUAAAAUUGUUUCUAAUGAAUUGGGUAUAUAUAUGUUAUUUUAACUACUUUGUAAGGGUAUAUAAUAUUUAUAAUUUUGCAAGGGUAUACAUGAUAUUUUACAAGUCUGUAGGUAUAUAUGAAAUUUUCCUUUGAUUUUUUAUAUAUAUCAUGAAAAAGCAUGGAUCUCUCUCCAUUUGUAGUUGUUGACAUGGACACAUUGCAAGAUCUAGCUGAAGAUAGUCUUAGUUUGACUGGAAACAGUGUGACUUGUGUUCAUAGUUAGUAUGGUUGGGAUAGGCAAAAUCGUUUUAGUUAGAGUUUUAUGGCGAGUGCCACCUCAUUUCAAACUUCACCCACAACGUUGAGGUUUGGUUGGGAUCUUGCGGCGAGUGCCACCUCAUUUCGGACUGGGGGGUUCUUUUGUAGUCAACUCAAUCACGGGUCAGAAGUCUAAGUGAUUAACUCAAGCGUGGUUCUCAAAUCUGAGUGAUUAAUUCAAAUGCUAAUACGAUGCUAUCACUUCUCAAUCCGAUGAAAACUGAUUUUAAUAAUGGCAUUGGAAAGAUUUUUAGUGUUUAUCGAAUUUUAAAAUUGUAAUCUUAUUUUGUUGGGGAAAUCUAGUCGUGAAUUGUAUUUUUACAAUUGUAUCAUGAUUUAGUCAAUGGUAGAAAUCCAGUCUUGAAUUGUAUUGGUCA